UCCAGCAACUGGUAGCUCAUUUGGCAGAGCAUGAGACUCUUAAUCUCAGGGUCACGGGUUUGAGCUCUGAAUGCUGAAA